rnacentral:rRNA from 1 species
CCUACGGGAGGCAGCAGUGGGGAAUAUUGGGCAAUGGAGGAAACUCUGACCCAGCGACGCCGCGUGCGGGAUGAAGGCCUUCGGGUUGUAAACCGCUUUCAGUAGGGAAGAAGCGAAAGUGACGGUACCUACAAAAGAAGCACCGGCUAACUAUGUGCCAGCAGCCGCGGUAAUACAUAGGGUGCAAGCGUUGUCCGGAAUUAUUGGGCGUAAAGAGCUCGUAGGUCGUUUGUUACGUCGGAUGUGAAAACCCUGAGGCUCAACCUCAGGCCUGCAUUCGAUACGGGCAAACUAGAGUUUGGUAGGGGAGACUGGAAUUCCUGGUGUAGCGGUGGAAUGCGCAGAUAUCAGGAGGAACACCAAUGGCGAAGGCAGGUCUCUGGGCCAAUACUGACACUGAGGAGCGAAAGUCUGGGGAGCGAACAGGAUUAGAUACCCUGGUAGUCCAGACCGUAAACGGUGGGCACUAGUUGUGGGAACCUUCCACGGUUUCUGCGACGCAGCUAACGCAUUAAGUGCCCCGCCUGGGGAGUACGAUCGCAAGAUUAAAACUCAAAGGAAUUGACGG